CGCUGCCGGGGGAAGGAGAGCCGCGGGAUGGGGCCGGGAGCGGCGGGGCCGGCUCCGUUCGGACGCUCCGCUGCCCUCCGAGUGUUCGCCCACGGCAGCCCAACACCCCCCCGCUCUCGGAUGGUCCGCGGAACCCGCGCACCGCUGGGAGAGAAGGGGGGGUCGCAAUGCUUUGGGUCACUCGGCACACGCGGGUCGGUGUGCGAUAGCGGGCGGAUAAUGAAUUUGAUGCUAGGGGUUGAAAUUGCUUUUACUGGUAAAAAAAUUAUUUUAGGUGAUGCUGCGUUCCGGUAUGUGCGUUAAGCCGCGGUAAUGCUUUGUCUCGGGCACACCUCAGCCUUCUAGGAACAGGGGCAGGACAGCCUGCAUGCGGGUGAGCUUAGCUGCAAACCACGCGGGGAGGCACCGCCAGCCGCUGAGUGACGAGGAGCUGGCUGCCUGUAUCCGCAGCACGGCUGUCACGGCUCGCGCUGGUCACCAUGGAAGGAACUGUAUUGUGUUUAGAACCGGAGGGACCGAACCUGGGGACUUUCGGUACCACCCCACUGCCGUCCUGGCGGCUGCUUUCAGUGCAGACAAUGAACCCACGUCUUAGCCCAGAGAAGGGACAGGAGCGGCUCGGUUCAUUAGAUAGCUUGCAUUCUUUCUGCCAGUUGAGGCAAUUGUGAUUAUUUAUUUUAUACUGUCCAAGAAUAUCUUAGAAAGUUAGCAAAACAUAUGGAUGUGCGCAGAGCGGCUCCGGUUCCCUCUCUAAUAAAUAGCAGCAGCCUCGUUGCCUUUAGCACAGCCAGCGCCGGUCACGUCGCUGCUUACAGCCUAAACACGCAGAGAAGGAGAGCGGUGGGAGGAAGGAGAUAAGCCUGGGAAGGAAGAGGGCAACGGCAGAGGUCCAGGUUUGAUUAAAGGGAAAAUCUGGUGUUUCCUUUUCUUUCCACUAAGUUUGUAAGCGGUGUCUGAAAUUCACCGGUGGGAGCUGAACGCGCUAUGAGUUGUUUGGGUCUCAUCAGCAGGGACACAAAUGUGAGCGGUGACUGCGUUCAGUGCUCACCCUGCUGCCACAGAACAGCACAGGGAGAGCAGCCCUCACACUGAGCGGUUCUGCUUGGGUUCUGACUGCGGUUCUUCCAUGUCUGGUCUGACUUCAGUGAAACUGCAGAAGAACAGUUCAGUUCCAUCCCAAAAACAAAA